GGGCCCGCACAAGCGGUGGAGCAUGUGGUUUAAUUCGAUGAUACGCGAGGAACCUUACCAGGGCUUAAAUGUAAGUUGCAUUAGUUAGAGAUAGCUAUUUCUUCGGACCACUUACAAGGUGCUGCAUGGUUGUCGUCAGCUCGUGCCGUGAGGUGUCAGGUUAAGUCCUAUAACGAGCGCAACCCCUGUUGUUAGUUGCCAGCGAGUCAUGUCGGGAACUCUAACAAGACUGCCGGUGCAAACCGUGAGGAAGGUGGGGAUGACGUCAAAUCAUCACGGCCCUUACGUCCUGGGCUACACACGUGCUACAAUGGCGGUGACAAUGGGCAGCGAAAGGGCGACCUGGAGCUAAUCCCCAAAAACCGUCCCAGUUCGGAUUGUACUCUGCAACUCGAGUGCAUGAAGUUGGAAUC
rnacentral:rRNA from 1 species